GCCACUGCAGCUCAGUGCUAGAGCACCUGCUUUGUAUGCAGAAAACCCUGAAUUCAAUCCUCAACAGCAUCUCCAGGUA